UACGGAGGGUGCAAGCGUUAAUCGGAAUUACUGGGCGUAAAGCGCACGUAGGUGGUUUGCUAAGUCAGCUGUGAAAUCCCCGGGCUUAACCUGGGCACUGCAGUUGAAACUGGCAAGCUAGAGUAGGGUAGAGGGGUGUGGAAUUCCAGGUGUAGCGGUGAAAUGCGUAGAUAUCUGGAGGAACACCGGUGGCGAAGGCGGCAUCCUGGACCAACACUGACGCUGAGUGAGCGAAAGCCAGGGGAGCAAACGGG
rnacentral:rRNA from 1 species